CGGAAUAACUGGGCGUAAAGGGCACGUAGGCGGUGACUUAAGUGAGAUGUGAAAGCCCCGAGCUUAACUUGGGAAUUGCAUUUCAUACUGGGUCGCUAGAGUACUUUAGGGAGGGGUAGAAUUCCACGUGUAGCGGUGAAAUGCGUAGAGAUGUGGAGGAAUACCGAAGGCGAAGGCAGCCCCUUGGGAAUGUACUGACGCUCAUGUGCGAAAGCGUGGGGAGCAAACAGGAUUAGAUACCCUGGUAGUCCACGCUGUAAACGAUGUCGAUUUGGGGAUUGGGCUUUGAGCUUGGUGCCCGUAGCUAACGUGAUAAAUCGACCGCCUGGGGAGUACGGCCGCAAGGUUAAAACUCAAAUGAAUUGACGGGGGCCCGCACAAGCGGUGGAGCAUGUGGUUUAAUUCGAUGCAACGCGAAGAACCUUACCUACUCU
rnacentral:rRNA from 1 species